rnacentral:misc_RNA from 1 species
UCCAACUUAUCGCUGGCGGUCUCCUGCGAGUUCCUUCCUUGCGGAAAUGGCAACACAGGACAAGGGUUGCGCUCGUUGCGGGACUUAACCCAACAUCUCACGACACGAGCUGACGACAGCCAUGCACCACCUGUAUAGGACCCUUACGGUCCCCCCAUCUCUAGAUACGUCCUGUGCAUGUCAAACCCAGGUAAGGUUCUUCGCGUUGCAUCGAAUUAAUCCACAUGCUCCGCCGCUUGUGCGGGCCCCCGUCAAUUUCUUUGAGUUUUAACCUUGCGGCCGUACUCCCCAGGCGGAUGACUUAAUGCGUUAGCUGCGCCACCGAAAGCCCAUGGCCCCCGACAGCUAGUCAUCAUCGUUUACGGCGUGGACUAC